rnacentral:misc_RNA from 1 species
GAUGAAGAACGCAGCGAAAUGCGAUAAGUAAUGUGAAUUGCAGAAUUCAGUGAAUCAUCGAAUCUUUGAACGCACAUUGCGCCCUUUGGUAUUCCGAAGGGCAUGCCUGUUCGAGCGUCAUUUCACCACUCAAGCCUGGCUUGGUAUUGGGCGCCGCGGUCGAUCCGCGCGCCUCAAAGUCUCCGGCUGAGCUGUCCGUCUCUAAGCGUUGUGAUUUCAUUAAUCGCUUCGGAGUGCGGGCGGCCGCGGCCGUUAAAUCUUUCACAAGGUUGACCUCGGAUCAGGUAGGGAUACCCGCUGAACUUAAGCAUAUCAUAAGCGGAGGA